UAGAUUUGGUGGCUAAGCUACUAAGAGCAUAUGGUGGAUGCCUUGGUGCUGGAAGGCGAUGAAGGACGUGGUAGACUGCGAUAAGCUUCGGGGAGUCGUCAAGCAGGCUUUGAUCCGGAGAUUUCCGAAUGGAGUAAUCCGCUUCGAAUUAAAUAUCGAAGCAUUUCUAACUGAAUUCAUAGGUUAGAGAGGCGAACUGGGAGAACUGAAACAUCUCAGUAAACUAAGGAAAAGAAAGAAAUUUCGAUUUCUUGAGUAGCGGCGAGCGAAAGAGAAACAGCCAAAACUGAAUGCAUGUGAAAGCCCGUGUGCGUUGUGCAUUUGGAGUUGCGGGGUUUAAACGGAGAAGAAUACGGUCUUCUCGGAAAGUUACAAAAUUAUAUCUUAGCUGAAUUUUCCUGGAAUGGUGAGCCAUAGAAGGUGACAGCCCUUUAAGCGAAAAGAUAUAAUCUUUCUGGUUUGAAUACCCUAGUACCACGGGACACGAGAAACCCUGUGGGAAUCCGGAAGGACCACCUUCCAAGGCUAAAUACUAACCAGCGACCGAUAGUGAACUAGUACCGUGAGGGAAAGGUGAAAAGAACCCCAGUGAGGGGAGUGAAAUAGUACCUGAAACCAUAUGCUUACAAGCAGUGGAAGUCUUGAGUAAUCAGGAUGACCGCGUGCCUUUUGCAUAAUGAGCCGUCGAGUUAUUUUAUGUUGCGAGGUUAAGCCUGCGGGUGUAGCCGAAGCGAAAGCGAGUCUUAAUAAGGCGAAUAAGUAACAUGGAAUAGACCCGAAACCAGGUGAGCUACCCAUGGCCAGAGUGAAGUCUCGGUAACACGAGAUGGAGGCUCGAACCUUUGCACCUUAAAAAGUGUCUGGAUGAGCUGUGGGUAGGGGUGAAAGGCUAAUCAAACCUGGAAAUAGCUGGUUCUCCUCGAAAUAGCUUUAGGGCUAGCCUUAUAAAUUAAGUAAUGGUGGUAGAGCACUGAAUGGACUAGGGGUCUUACCAGACUACCAAACCCAAUCAAACUCCGAAUGCCAUUAACUGUUAUUAUAGGAGUCAGACAGUGGGGGAUAAGCUUCAUUGUCGAGAGGGAAAGAGCCCAGACCGCCAGCUAAGGUCCCUAAAGACAAACUAAGUGGGAAAGGAUGUGAAAGCACUUAGACAGCCAGGAGGUUGGCUUAGAAGCAGCCAUCCUUUAAAGAAAGCGUAAUAGCUCACUGGUCAAGUGAAUUUGCGCCGAAAAUAUAACGGGGCUAAAGUUUGUUACCGAAGCUGCGGAUCCUGACUUGUCAGGAUGGUAGAGGAGCAUUCUAUAUCAGACACACGUUUGCUUGUGAGAGUAAAUAUCGGGAUAUAGAAGAGAUAAUGGCGGUAUGAGUAGCGAAAAACAUGGCGAGAAACCAUGUCGCCGAAAACCUAAGGUUUCCUGGGGAAGGUUAAUCCGCCCAGGGUUAGUCGGUCCCUAAGCCGAGGCUGAAAAGCGUAGGCAAUGGGAAGCAGGUCAAUAUUCCUGCACUACCGAAAAACGUUUGAACGAUGGGGUGACGCAGAAGGGUAUGUACGCCAACGGCUGGAUGUGUUGGUUCAUUUAUUAGGAGUGUUCAGCAGGCAAAUCCGUUGAGCUUUAACUCUGAGGUAAGUGGGGGUGCCCGUAAGGGCCGUAAGGUACAAAUCUCAUGCUGCCAAGAAAAACCUCUAGUGAGUUUUUUGGUAACCGUACCGUAAACCGACACAGGUAGGUGAGGAGAGUAUCCUAAGGCGCUUGAGAGAACACUUGUUAAGGAACUCGGCAAAUUAACCCCGUAACUUCGGGAGAAGGGGUGCCUCGAUUUGUGACAUACCUCGCGUGUGAAGCAUUUCGAGGUCGCAGUGAACAGGCCCAGGCGACUGUUUAUCAAAAACACAGGUCUCUGCUAAGUCGUAAGACGAAGUAUAGGGACUGACGCCUGCCCGGUGCUGGAAGGUUAAGGGGAGGGGUCAUUUUUCGCAAGAAAGAGAAGCUUCGAUCCGAAGCCCCAGUAAACGGCGGCCGUAACUAUAACGGUCCUAAGGUAGCGAAAUUCCUUGUCGGGUAAGUUCCGACCUGCACGAAUGGCGUAACGAUCUGGGCGCUGUCUCAACAAGUGACUCAGCGAAAUUGUAGUACCGGUGAAAAUGCCGGUUACCCGUGGUUAGACGGAAAGACCCCGUGCACCUUUACUAUAACUUGGCAGUGAAUUUUGGAGUGGUAUGUGUAGGAUAGGUGGGAGACUUUGAAGUUUCGACGCUAGUCGGGAUGGAGUCGUCGUUGAAAUACCACCCUUAGUAUUCUGGAAUUCUAACCUAGGCUCGUGAAACCGGGCUAGGGACAUUGCCUGGUGGGUAGUUUGACUGGGGCGGUCGCCUCCCAAAAUGUAACGGAGGCGCCCGAAGGUUCCCUCAGGCUGAUUGGAAACCAGCCUUCGAGUGUAAAGGCAUAAGGGAGCUUGACUGCGAGACCCACAAGUCGAGCAGGUGCGAAAGCAGGGCUUAGUGAUCCGGCGGUUCUGUGUGGAAGGGCCGUCGCUCAACGGAUAAAAGGUACGCCGGGGAUAACAGGCUUAUCGCUCCCAAGAGUUCACAUCGACGGAGCGGUUUGGCACCUCGAUGUCGGCUCGUCGCAUCCUGGAGCUGAAGCAGGUUCCAAGGGUUGGGCUGUUCGCCCAUUAAAGCGGUACGCGAGCUGGGUUCAGAACGUCGUGAGACAGUUCGGUCCCUAUCUGCCACGGGCGCAGGAUAUUUGAGAGGAGCUGUCCCUAGUACGAGAGGACCGGGAUGGACGGACCGCUGGUGCACCAGUUGUCACGCCAGUGGCACAGCUGGGUAGCUAUGUCCGGAAAGGAUAACCGCUGAAAGCAUCUAAGUGGGAAACCUGCCUCAAGAUAAGAUAUCCCGUAUCAUAAGAUACCUAAAGGCUCCUGGAAGAUUACCAGGUUGAUAGGCUGGGUGUGUAAGUUCAGAAAUGGAUUUAGCUAACCAGUACUAAUCAGCCGUGAGGCUUAGCCACCAUUCU
rnacentral:rRNA from 1 species